GCUGGCGGCAUGCUUUACACAUGCAAGUCGAGCGGCAGCGCGGGGGCAACCCUGGCGGCGAGCGGCGGACGGGUGAGUAAUGCAUCGGAACGUAUCCCGUAGUGGGGGACAACCCAGCGAAAGCUGGGCUAAUACCGCAUAUGCUCUACGGAGGAAAGCGGGGGACUUCGCAAGGAGCCUCGCGCUAUGGGAGCGGCCGAUGUCCGAUUAGCUAGUUGGUGGGGUAAAGGCCCACCAAGGCGACGAUCGGUAGCUGGUCUGAGAGGAUGAUCAGCCACACUGGGACUGAGACACGGCCCAGACUCCUACGGGAGGCAGCAGUGGGGAAUUUUGGACAAUGGGGGCAACCCUGAUCCAGCCAUGCCGCGUGCGGGAAGAAGGCCUUCGGGUUGUAAACCGCUUUUGGUCGGGAAGAAAGGGCCUUGGCUAAUACCCAGGGCUGUUGACGGUACCGGCAGAAUAAGCACCGGCUAACUACGUGCCAGCAGCCGCGGUAAUACGUACGGUGCGAGCGUUAAUCGGAAUUACUGGGCGUAAAGCGUGCG
rnacentral:rRNA from 1 species